rnacentral:rRNA from 1 species
ACAGACAUACAGUUCAGACUAGAUAAUCCACUUGAAGCUAAGCUGGUUAGAGUCUGGUCAGUACUUGGAUGGGAGACCCACUAGGAAAGCUAGGUUGCUGCU